rnacentral:other from 1 species
CUCUCUCUGUCCUGUUUGUCGGCUGUUGUGCCCGGGCGGAAUAAAUAAAGAACGGGAGACCUUUUCUACUGUGGUGAGCUGCCCCAUUGCGCGGGAAUUGCCUGAAGCAGUACAUGGUCGCCCACCUGUUAAGGAACUCGCCGGAGGUCCUUUAAGUUGACGGCAGGAUGGGGAGAGU